rnacentral:miRNA from 1 species
AAGGAUUCUCCUUAUGGGUUUCAGAGGGAGCAUGGCCUUUCUGACACCUUGAUCUUGGACUUCCAGCCUCCAGAACUGUGAGACAGUAAGUUUCUGUUGUUUCAAGCCACCGAGUCUGUGGUACUUUGUUAGGCAGCCCUAGGAA